rnacentral:rRNA from 1 species
UGGGGAAUAUUGGGCAAUGGGGGCAACCCUGACCCAGCGACGCCGCGUGAGGGAAGACGGCCUUCGGGUUGUAAACCUCUUUUGUACGGGAAGAAGGACGUGACGGUACCGUGCGAAUAAGUCCCGGCUAACUACGUGCCAGCAGCCGCGGUAAUACGUAGGGGACGAGCGUUGUCCGGAAUUACUGGGCGUAAAGGGCGCGCAGGCUGUAGAUCAAGUCAGCUGUGAAAUGUCUGGGCUUAACCCGGGCAUGCGGUUGAAACUGAUGUACUGGAGUGCCGUAGAGGCAAGUGGAAUUCCCAGUGUAGCGGUGAAAUGCGUAGAUAUUGGGAAGAACACCGGUGGCGAAGGCGACUUGCUGGGCAGCAACUGAUGCUGAGGCGCGAAAGCCAGGGGAGCAAACGG